rnacentral:lncRNA from 1 species
GAUACAUGGCUCAAAUUCUCAACUCUUGAGAAUAUGUAUCAUCAUCUUAUUAAUUUCUUGGACGAUUCAUAGACACAUAAACAAUAUGAAUGAAAAAGAUGCCUUUUAUUUAUUCAAUGAUAAAUAGUCAAGUACAAAAUUAUGUCCCUAGAAUCAACAAUGUGUCAGCCAAAUUGGCUUCUAGGGCAUACAUCUAACAA